AUUGAACGCUGGCGGCAGGCCUAACACAUGCAAGUCGAACGAGUGGCGGACGGGUGAGUAAUGUCUGGGAAACUGCCUGAUGGAGGGGGAUAACUACUGGAAACGGUAGCUAAUACCGCAUACCAUCAGAUGUGCCCAGAUGGGAUUAGCUAGUUGGUGGGGUAACGGCUCACCAAGGGGACGAUCCCUAGCUGGUCUGAGAGGAUGACCAGCCACAUGGGAACUGCAACACGGUCAAGACUCCUACGGGAGGCAGCGGUGGGGAUGAUUGCCCAAUGGGCGAAAGCCGGAUGCAGCCAUGCCGCGUGUAUGAAGAAGGCCUUCGGGUUGUAAAGUACUUUCAGCGGGGAGGCGUUACCCGCAGAAGAAGCACCGGCUAACUCCGUGCCAGCAGCCGCGGUAAUUC
rnacentral:rRNA from 1 species